GAAGCCUUCCCAUUCAGCCUGGGAUUACAGCUCCUGAGGCCUCUGUCACUGUCAGCUCCAACCUGGGGAGCAGUGUGGGAAAAUAUCUUGUCUUCCCUGGUCAGCUUUCAGACACAGAAGCCAGGCUGUGGCACACAAGUCCUGCCCUUGCAGCUAGCCGGCCUUCCCUCCCACCUGCCGAAGCCCUCAACUAGGAGUGCCUCAUGGGAAAGAUCCUGGUGUGAAAAGUCACUUCCAAGCUUGAUGCCAAACUAGGGGACAUGCAAGCUAACUCCUUGGAACCUCCAUUGCCUGAGUUAGAAAAUGGAGAGCCCUGUGUCCCUGUUGAAUCCUGGAGCAAAUUAAUAUAUCUAUAAAGCACAGA